AGUGAACGCUGGCGGUAGGCCUAACACAUGCAAGUCGAACGGCAGCACAGUAAGAGCUUGCUCUUACGGGUGGCGAGUGGCGGACGGGUGAGGAAUACAUCGGAAUCUACUUUUUCGUGGGGGAUAACGUAGGGAAACUUACGCUAAUACCGCAUACGACCUACGGGUGAAAGCAGGGGAUCUUCGGACCUUUCGCGAUUGUAUGAGCCGAUGUCGGAUUAGCUAGUUGGCGGGGUAAAGGCCCACCAAGGCGACGAUCCGUAGCUGGUCUGAGAGGAUGAUCAGCCACACUGGAACUGAGACACGGUCCAGACUCCUACGGGAGGCAGCAGUGGGGAAUAUUGGGCAAUGGGCGCAAGCCUGAUCCAGCCAUACCGCGUGGGUGAAGAAGGCCUUCGGGUUGUAAAGCCCUUUUGUUGGGAAAGAAAAGCAGCAGGUUAAUACCCCGCUGUUCUGACGGUACCCAAAGAAUAAGCACCGGCUAACUUCGUG
rnacentral:rRNA from 1 species